rnacentral:rRNA from 1 species
UACGUAGGGGGCUAGCGUUGUCCGGAUUUAUUGGGCGUAAAGAGCGUGUAGGCGGCCAGGUAGGUCUGGUGUGAAAACUCGAGGCUUAACCUCGAGAUGUCAUCGGAAACCAUCUGGCUAGAGUCCGGAAGAGGAGAGUGGAAUUCCUGGUGUAGCGGUGAAAUGCGCAGAUAUCAGGAAGAACACCAAUGGCGAAGGCAGCUCUCUGGGACGGUACUGACGCUGAGACGCGAAAGCGUGGGGAGCGAAGCAGGG